rnacentral:rRNA from 1 species
AGCCGCGGUAAGACGGAGGAUGCAAGCGUUAUCCGGAAUUAUUGGGCGUAAAGCGUCCGUAGGCGGUUUAUCAAGUCUGCCGUUAAAGACUGCAGCUUAACUGUGGGCGAGCGGUGGAAACUGAUUAACUAGAGUGUGGUAGGGGUAGAGGGAAUUCCCAGUGUAGCGGUGAAAUGCGUAGAUAUUGGGAAGAACACCAGUGGCGAAGGCGCUCUACUGGGCCACAACUGACGCUGAGGGACGAAAGCUAGGGGAGCGAAAGGGAUUAGAUACCCCUGUAGUCCUAGCUGUAAACGAUGGAUACUAGGUGUUGCGCGUAUCGACCCGUGCAGUACCGUAGCCAACGCGAUAAGUAUCCCGCCUGGGGAGUACGCACGCAAGUGUGAAACUCAAAGGAAUUGACGGGGGCCCGCACAAGCGGUGGAGUAUGUGGUUUAAUUCGAUGCAACGCGAAGAACCUUACCAGGGCUUGACAUCCCGCGAAUCUUGAUGAAAGUCGAGAGUGCCUUCGGGAACGCGGAGACAGGUGGUGCAUGGCUGUCGUCAGCUCGUGUCGUGAGAUGUUGGGUUAAGUCCCGCAACGAGCGCAACCCACGUCCUUAGUUGCCAGCAUUAAGUUGGGCACUCUGGGGAGACUGCCGGGGACAACUCGGAGGAAGGUGUGGAUGACGUCAAGUCAUCAUGCCCCUUACGUUCUGGGCUACACACGUACUACAAUGCUUCGGACAAAGGGCAGCGAACCUGCGAAGGCAAGCUAAUCCCAUAAACCGAGGCACAGUUCAGAUUGCAGGCUGCAACUCGCCUGCAUGAAGGUAGGAAUCGCUAGUAUCGCAGGUCCAGCAUAUGCGG